rnacentral:lncRNA from 1 species
AUGCCUGAGGGUACAUACACAGCAGUCUUCCUUGAAAAUGAUGGACUUUCAUCCUCUCACACGAGCAUUUCUGGCUGGGCAGUGGAGAGAGGAUCACCACCAUUGAUGAUUCCAGUCACCAUCUCUCCUGUCAUUUCCUGCAGAGGAAUCUGGAUAGGCUGGAUCAAUGAGCCAAGACCAAUGAUCCACAGAGAGUUGACUGGAAUGCAGCAUCCACCCAGCACUGUGAGCCAGAUAUCCCAUUUAUGGGCUAAUCCUUUUUUUGACGUCUCUUCCUUGUACCUGGUGAUACGUAGAAAUGUAAAACUGGCUUUGAGUGACUACACACAGAAAGUACUUGCCCUUUCAAAGGAGAAAGAGAGCUCAAAUGAUCACCAGCAACAACAUCAUGAGUAUUUUGGGAAGAUUGCCCUUUAGAGAUGUGCAGACAGUGUGCCCACCUCCCAUUCACAGCACAAAAG